GAUGAAGAACGUAGCGAAAUGCGAUAAGUAAUGCGAAUUGCAGAAUUUCCGUGAGUCAUCGAAUCUUUGAACGCACAUUGCGCCCGCCAGUAUUCUGGCGGGCAUGCCUGUUCGAGCGUCAUUUCAACCAUCAAGCCCCGGGCUUGUGUUGGGGACCUGCGGCUGCCGCAGGCCCUGAAAUGCAGUGGCGGGCUCGCUGUCACUCCGAGCGUAGUAAUACAUCUCGCUCUGGACGUGCUGCGGGUUCCGGCCGUUAAAAGCCUUAUUUACCCAAGGUUGACCUCGGAUCAGGUAGGAAGACCCGCUGAACUUAAGCAUAUCAAUAAGCGGAGGA
rnacentral:misc_RNA from 1 species